rnacentral:rRNA from 1 species
AUGGCGGGCGCAUCCUCGUGGUCGUCGUCCUGCUCAUGCACGUCGUCGCUCGGCUCCUUGGAUGACGACGACGUGGUCUGCGUGGUGAAACCGGGUUCCCCCGGGGCGGCAGAGGGCAGCGUCAAGUUCCUGUGCAGCUACGGGGGUAUGAUCCUUCCACGCCACCCCGACGCCGCCCUCCGUUACGUCGGCGGCAACAACCGCGUCCUCUCCGUCGACCGCUCCCUCCAAUUUUACGAGCUGCAACGGAAGCUGAUGGACAUGUGCGGAUGCGAGGCGAUGAGCCUGCGGUGCCAGCUGCCGACGGAGGACCUGGACGCGCUCGUCUCCGUCACGACCAACGACGACCUCGGCCACCUGCUGGAGGAGUACGACGCCGCUAGCAGGGACCGGCUCCAGCCGCUCAAGAUAAGGGCGUUCCUGUUCCCAAGGUCCAAAACGCCGCCUCUCUCGCCGUCCACCCCGUCGUCCAGGCCAACACCGGCGUACGUCCGCCACCAGCACCACACGGCUCGCCCCCCUCCGGCUCGUGUGCAUUCGGGCCACCGGCGCCCACACCAGCUCCUGCUCCUCCACAACGGCAGUCGGUUGCAAUAA